UCCUUCUCCUUGCCCGCGCCCGCCAAAUCCGCAAGCACCUAGCGGCCACCUCUCCCUGUGCCUUCUUUGUAAUAGACUGGACAGAUCGACAAGAGCAGAACAAGGAAGGAAGGCAAUAGCACAGUAGCACGUUAAGAGAAGAAGAAGGGGAGAAGAAGACUUGGGGAAGAAGAUGAACUCAGAAGAAGGCGGAUGAUAUUACUUUUUCUCACAUGAUGAUUGACGAUACAUGCUGCUCUUCACCCGCAGACAUUCCCUUCUGACAAACUAACUUUGGAUAUUUAAUAAAGAAAGUCCCUCAGUUCUUAACGUUCUUACUAUUUCCCCUUGCAUUUAUUUAACAACCAUUGGGCCUCAUUACAUAAGUUUGUUCCCUAACAUUCUUGUUCCCUUCUUCAUCCUCCCCUGCACGAUUUUGACUUUGCGCUUCUGUUCUUCCCCCCCUAUGCUCUUCCGCCUACCAAUUCCACCCUCCCUCCGCUCUUGUUCCUUCGUCGCAUACAGACGGUGCUGUUGCGAUCCUUCCCCACCCAGAUGCCUUGACAUCUAGAAUCAAUUGGAUUCAUUCACAGGGGCUUUGGAUGUUUUUGAGAAGUGAAGGUUGGACCCUGAGUAUGAGCCCAAAACACAACCUUUUAAAGAGGACCCUCGGCUUGAAAGGGCUCGUAAAUCGGGACUGGUGCUCAGAGCACCUUCGGGGACAGCUGAUAAAAGGCUGCUGAAUACCUCAAUGAAAUUGGAUGUAGCUUGGCAAGUAUCAUCUAUUCCUGUUUCUAUUUUUUCUGAAAUCUUAAUGAUCAGUGUUCUCGGAGUAUAACUAGAGGUUCAUUACUUCGGACUUCGACGUUGAAGAAGACAGGAAUAAGGCGCUUCUUUUGUUCCAAUUCCAAGCAUUCCUAGACAAGAAGAAACGUAUCAGAAGGGCAGCAGAACCUGCUGGCAUUCCUUGCAUUGCUGCGAAUUUGCUUAGUGUGCACAUUUUGUUAAUUAUCUUUUCCAUCCAUCAGAACAUAGGAAUGCUGUGAUCGUUUAUGGAACUGGCGAUGCAAAGGGUACAACAUCUUCUGUUUAACAUUAGGAAGAUUUGUUAUUUAGCUCGACUAUGUUACCGCAUUUGAUUUUCA